CAUCAUCCUCUAGAAAAUCAAGAGCAUCCACAGCAGGCUCGAGAGGUAGCCCCUCAAGAUCCUCCUCAGGGUCUUCCUCGGACGAUGUUACUUCGAUCACUUGGACUGGCUCCACUAGACGAUAUGGUGUAGGCGUGGGUAGUAUCCACUCCACCGUGCGCUGAAGCGUACGUGCAGGUUCAUCUGGAUGCACCAAUGAAGUAGCCGUGAAUCGGAUUGUGCCCCGAAAUCGGCACCUCGCAUUGCCUUCGAGGGUCUCCC
rnacentral:lncRNA from 1 species